rnacentral:rRNA from 1 species
UACGAAGGGGGCUAGCGUUGUUCGGAAUUACUGGGCGUAAAGCGCGCGCAGGCGGUCCUUCAAGUCAGAGGUGAAAGCCCAGAGCUCAACUCUGGAAUGGCCUUUGAGACUAGAGGACUUGGGUACGGGAGAGGUGAGUGGAAUUCCGAGUGUAGAGGUGAAAUUCGUAGAUAUUCGGAAGAACACCAGUGGCGAAGGCGGCUCGCUGGCCCGUUACCGACGCUCAGGCGCGACAGCGUGGGGAGCAAACAGG